UGCAACCUGAGCUCAGGCGUGACUACCCGGCUGAACUUAGCAUAUCAUUUAGCGGAGGAA
rnacentral:rRNA from 1 species